rnacentral:pre_miRNA from 14 species
UCUCCGGAGAUGAGGGUGGUCGCUGAUCCCAGAUGAGCCCCCAAAUGAGAGACCCCCAGAGUGGGGAGAUCCUCACUCAAGUCUCAGGAUGACAUGACCCUCCCCCCCGCAAGAACUC